UUAGGUCAAGAAGCAGCAGAAGCCAAACUUGUUGGAGUUAUGGAACGUUUUCCUGAAGUACAGGAAAGCUGGUGCCCUGCCAGCUGUGGGAGCAGAAGAGGAGGAAGAUCCUGAUUCUCCCUGGAGUUCUCCCUGGGAUUCUGAGGAAGAAUCACCUGAAGAGGAAGAAAUGGAGGAGAAUCAGGAGCAGGAAGAACUCAGUAAAGAAUUAUGGGCUGCAAUUGCUGCAUGUGUCACCAAGGACAUUUUAAAUGCAAGUCCUGAUAUUUUGACAGGGACUGCAGAGAACAAGCCUGGUGAGGACUCGGGAUCUCCUUUCCAUAUGUCAUCACCAGCAAAAAUAGAGGCCUAAAGGAAGCCACUGACAACUCUGGGGUGCAGUGUCGGGAACUGGAAGAGCAUCAGCUUCAAUAUGAGCAUCAGAUGUAUUACUAUUACAUGAGUUCCUCCAAGGAUAAGAAAAGAGAACUAAGAGAGAAGUGCCAAAACCUGAAAGACCUCCUGUCAUCAUCUUCUGAGACCAGGGCUACAGUAAAAGAGCUGGAAGAGCGUGUGCAGUGGUGAGAGCCUGACACAGAGAA